AAAGUGACGUCCCAGGAAUAGCCCUUGAGUUCUGAGUCUGAGACGUCAAACUAAGGCAGCUGGAAGCCGUAUUGAUCAGCUAACAUCUCUCUCCGAUUGCUACAAUUUCAUAGCUGCUGGAAUCCAACCAACCCUUUCGUUAUAUAGAGAAUGCAGAAGGAAAAACGUAAACAAUCCAAAGAUGAAGAAAACGAUUCAUCCUCGCGAAAGAGAAGAAAAGCAGACCUCAGUAAGCCUGUCAGUUUUGUCGCCACAGGUAAAGUAGAAAUAUGUCGUGCUGAGAGUAUAAUAAUAAAAAUUAUUCAUUGGUUAUCUAACAAUAUUAUCGUGUAGCAUGUAGUCGUUUUUCUUUCCUUGAUGCACAAAAUUAUUCAUUGGUCAUCUAACAUCAUUAACAUGUAGCUUGUAGUCGUUUUUGUUUUCAUGUUUACAGCAAUAUUAACACUAAGAAGAUUACCCAAGAAAAUAAUUGUUAGAUGGGAUUUUAUGUUGUAUGUUCUUGCUAGUAAAUCUUCCUCGCCUCUUUCGCCACCAAA